rnacentral:rRNA from 1 species
CUACGGGCGGCUGCAGUGGGGAGUAUUGCACAAUGGGCGCAAGCCUGAUGCAGCCAUGCCGCGUGUAUGAAGAAGGCCUUCGGGUUGUAAAGUACUUUCAGCGGGGAGGAAGGGAGUAAAGUUAAUACCUUUGCUCAUUGACGUUACCCGCAGAAGAAGCACCGGCUAACUCCGUGCCAGCAGCCGCGGUAAUACGGAGGGUGCAAGCGUUAAUCGGAAUUACUGGGCGUAAAGCGCACGCAGGCGGUUUGUUAAGUCAGAUGUGAAAUCCCCGGGCUCAACCUGGGAACUGCAUCUGAUACUGGCAAGCUUGAGUCCCGUAGAGGGGGGUAGAAUUCCAGGUGUAGCGGUGAAAUGCGUAGAGAUCUGGAGGAAUACCGGUGGCGAAGGCGGCCCCCUGGACGAAGACUGACGCUCAGGUGCGAAAGCGUGGGGAGCAAACAGGAUUAGAUACCCUCGUAGUC